rnacentral:tRNA from 1 species
UCAAUGGUAGAGCGCCUGGCUGUGGCCCAGGAGGCUGCGGGUUCGAUCCCCGUCGGUCACC